rnacentral:lncRNA from 13 species
AGACGGAGGAGAAGCGAGGGGAAAAGUUGCCACACACCCCGGGAGGGGAAGGGGAAAAAAGGGGGGAGAAGGAGCGAGGGGGGCAACAACAACAACUCCAGGAGAGAACGAGAAGGAGAAAGGGAGAGAAGGGGGAGAAAAGGAGGUGAAGGUGAUAAAGAGCGAGCGCAGGAGGGGCGAGCACGAGAGGCGCUCUGGAGAGAAACGCACAAAAGUGUCCCGCAAGUCGAAAUGCGAGUCCUCUCCGGGGGCUGGGAUGGAGGGCUGGUUUGGGGGGGUGGGGGCGGGGGCGGGGAGGGUCGGCUGUUGUUGUGUGGGUCCCGCUCUAGCACAAAGUUAAGGAUGAAGGUGAAAAGGAGGAGGUUUGAAGGACUUGGGCUCUCCCUGGCAAGUACAUUGAUCAAAGAUUGAGAGGCGAAUGACAGAGAGAAAAUGAGCUGAAAAGUGCAGGCUGCCGGCUGGACGAGUUGUUGUUGUCACACGGUGCAGAGGGGAGGAGCUCCGGAAACUUGAAAUACCCUUUGAAGCCGCAAAAACCUCACUCACUAGUAUUAACCCAAAUUAUCCAACCAGGAACUCGGAGCAGAGACUCCGAGAGCGCGAGACACUGGAGAGGGAGCGUGCGAGGAAAGGAGGAGGGGAGGGGGAGGAUAAAGAAAGAAACUGUGGGAGGAACGGAGAGGAAAAGCCGGGGACGCAGAAGUGGCGAUCGGAAAAGGAGAGGGAGAUCUUCCACUUCUCUUCUAUACUACCGUUAGAUUGCAUGUCUCACAUUGCAUUUCGUCCGCGGCGACUGUCAUCAGAGGAGCCAUUAGAGUCUUCCUCAAGACUGAAAACAGAAGUGAGAGUGCAUCUUGAAGUGCUGCACCAGAGGAUGAGGAAAAGAUUAGUGUGUGAAAUUCUACCUACCCAAUGA